UACGUAGGGUGCAAGCGUUAAUCGGAAUUACUGGGCGUAAAGCGUGCGCAGGCGGUGAUGUAAGACAGGUGUGAAAUCCCCGGGCUCAACUUGGGAACUGCAUUUGUGACUGCAUCGCUGGAGUGCGGCAGAGGGGGAUGGAAUUCCGCGUGUAGCAGUGAAAUGCGUAGAUAUGCGGAGGAACACCGAUGGCGAAGGCAAUCCCCUGGGCCUGCACUGACGCUCAUGCACGAAAGCGUGGGGAGCAAACAGG
rnacentral:rRNA from 1 species